CAGGGUAGGUCGCGCUAUGGUUUACAAGUUUACAUUUUAAACUACGUGGUUUCUUAAAUUUGUCUUAAACUCUUUCUUUUCAAAGGAGAACUUAUUUAAUUGUAGACAAUUGUAUCUUGUUAUGCGUAUUUACAUUUAGAAUAUAACAUUCAGUAUACAUUUUGGGGAAGAUAUUAAAUAUUUUGCAUUUUUAGAAGUCGGUUACACCGACCACGUGGUUUCAUAAAUUUAAAUGGAGAACUUGUAUAAUUAUGAGCAGUUGUAUCACUUUAGAAAUUUUUUGAAAUGUAUAUGUAUACCAUAACAAUCAUCAUAAAUUCUGGGAAAAGAUCUUGCAUAAGUGUUUUUUGUGUUGUUGUUGUAUUUUUAUGCUCCCCGAAAAUUUUCGGGGAGCAUAUAGGUGCCAGUUUGUCCUUCCUUACUUCCUUACUUCCGUCACACUUUUGUUACAGUAUCUCAUAGAACCUUCAAUACUUAACCGAUCUCUUUCAUAUUUGGCAUGUAGGUUCCUUGCAUGGACCGCUACCUUUUGAUGAGGUUUGAAGUCACUGGGGUCAAGGUCAAGGUCACCAAGGCUAAUAAUUGAUUUUUCCGUAACACUUUUGUUACAGUUUGUCAUAGCACCUUCAAUACUUUACCGAUCUCUUUCAUAUUUGGCGUGUAGGUUCCUUGCAUAGACCUCUUCCUUUUGAUGAUGUUUGAGGUCACUGGGGUCAAGGUCACUGAGGCUAAUAAUAUAUUUUCAUGUCAUGCUUUUGUUACUUUACCGAUCUCUUUCAUAUUUGGCAUGUAGGUACCUUCCAUGGACCUCUACCUUUAAUGAGGUUUGAGGUUUCUGGGCUCAAGGUCACCAAGGCUGAUAAUAGAUGUUCCGUCACGCUUUUCUUACAGUUACUCAUAGGGCAUUCAAUACUUUAAUGAUCUCUAACAUAUUUGCCAUGUAGGUACUUUGCAUGGACCUCUACCUUUUGAUGAGGUUUGAAGUCACUGUGCUCAAGGUCACCGAGGCUAUUUAUAUAAUUUCCGUCCCGCUUUUGUAACGGUUUAUCAUAGCACCUCCAUUUCUUUACCGAUCUCUUUAAUAUUUGGCAUGUAGGUACCUUGCAUGGGCUUCUACCUUUUGAUGAGGUUUGAUGUCAUUGGGGUCAAGGUCACCGAGGCUAUUAAAAGAUUUUUUAGGUGGUUAUUAACACAUAGAUUGACAAAGCGCAUCAUCGGGGAUUAUCCAUCAGUUUCACUGAUAUUCUUGUCUUUUUAGUAUUUAAAGGGAUCUUUUCACGCUUUGGUAAAUUGACAAAAUGGAAAAAAGUUGUUUCAGAUUCGCAAAUUUUCGUUUUUGUUAUGAUAUUUGCGAGGAAACAGUAAUACUGAACAUUUACCAUGGUCUAAUAUAGCCAUUAUAUGCAUCUUUUGACGAUUUUGAAACCUAAAAAUUAUAAAGCGUUGCAACGCGAAACGAUUGAAUAAUUUGGAGAGUUCUGUUUUUGUCGUUAACUUUUGUGCAACUACGAAGAUUGCUUAUAUAAGGUAUAAAAUACGUCACAUUGUGUAGACGGCGGAAUAGCUCAGUAGGCUAAAGCGUUUUUACUUCAGGACUCUGGCAGGACUCCAGGGGUCACUGGUUCGAAACCUGGUCCGGGCAAUGUUCUUUUCCUUUUUUAAAUUUUAUUCUUGAUUUUUUACUGGAGCUUUUACGAUCCAAUUUUUACAUUUAUCGAUAUAAAGCAUUUAAUGAAUAAGUUAAAAAAAUGCCAAAAUCUGUGAAAAGGCCCCUUUAAGAAAGACCGACCACGUGAUGGUAUACUUCUCAAAAUUGUGUUUUGUAAAUUUUAAUAUUAAGUUAUCGUGAAUUAUUAGACAAAGCUUUAUACUUAGAUAUUUUAUGUUUGCAUUAAUUUGAAGUUAUUGUCUAAUCAUAGUUCUCUAUCCGAUUGUAUUAACACAACUAUUUUUAUUGUUUUGUAUUGCCACCACGGGUCGAAAGAUGUCUUUAAAAGGAAGCGUUGUCGUCUCAAGCCACGGGCACGGAGAAUAGACUUGAAACCGAACAAGAGGUAACGGCGUCGGUUAUAUAAAACGAAACGUGGAAUCGUCUGAGCGGAUUUUAAGGCCGGUUAAACAUGUUGUUUUAUUUAUCACUACAGACGAGACAAACAUUUCAAACUGAGAAUUUGUUUCCUAGGUGUCUCUUUAACAAAUAUGCCUUGAAAUAACGCAGCAAAUAGUCUGCAAUACAGAACUUAUUGGAUGCGCUUCUGGCGUUAUUUAAAACAUUGAACGUGUAGACGUUUGGUUUUAUGUGUUACUUAAUAUGGCGAUACGACGUACAACUUAUGGAAGUAGAAACAAUAAUUUUAUAUUUAUUUUGUUUAUGGGCAGUCACGCUAAGAAAUAACAAGAAAUAUCUUUACAAAGAUCAACGGACUUUGACGUUGGUUUGUUUUCGUGAAAGAUAAUCAUUUAAAACAAAGUUCGCAAAAAACCCUUUCUAUAUGCGCAAUUCCUUAUUGCAUCACGAAGAAUGAAAAUUGUGUUAUGCUAAAAUCACAAAUAGUUGGUCAAUUUAAUUAUCUGUUUACAAUCGAAUCGGCUGACAAGGUCGCGCCAUUCUCGUGGAAUGCGUGGAUUUUAAUACUUGAUUGCUGUAUAAAAACUCCGAAGUGCCGAGAACGUUAUGAUCUUUAUUUUAAAGUGUUAUUAUGGGCAUCUAUCAGUUGAUAGGUGUCUAUCGCAACCGUUGUUAAUUUUUUGUGUUUUCACUUCAUAUACACUUAUAUUUGUUAAUGCAUCAUCAACAUAUCAAAACAAUAUCACGGAAAGAGAAAAAUAAUGCAUUUGAACAUCAACCUUACUUUCGUUUUGACAACUGGCGACAGCAAUAAUUCGAUUUACUAUGUGAAUCUAAAUUUGGUUUUAGUGCAGAUUCGUUCAUACGACACAAAGACACUAUUUUGUUAUACGGAUCAUUUCGGAUUAGAGGACUCACAGGUCAUGUAUAAUAUCGAAUAUAAUGUAUGUUUUUAUCAAAAAAACUGGAAGCAAGAUGAGUUGCAGAUAAUUGGUCAGUAACCAUAUUUUAGCUAACUCUUUUGACCUGGUAAUUCUUUUAAUCCCAAUUCAACAGUGAAAAAUGCCCAUAAUAUCUCUUUAAAUGUGACGUCGUCAGCGAAAAUCAGUCUUGUGUACGCUGACGUUUAUGUCGGGAAAUCGCGAGAUAAAAAUCUUGUACGAAAAUGCGCUGGAUAUUUCGUCUUUUUCAUACAAUUUCUCGGCUCAUAAUUUAUGACAUGCUUUGAAAAUUUCCACAAUAUAGCAUGAAUAUGUCCUUUAAACACUGGCACAAUUGGUGGUUUGUAAUCCGCUUAUUUAAUUCAAAUUAUUCCCUUUCAAUGGCUAUUAAACGCUGUAAAUCAAAAUGACAUCGUGUACUAAUGGAUGUCUUCAAUCGAAGAAGGUUCGGAAAUGAUAUGUCCACAUGCUUAAAAUAGGUAAGUGAAAUAUAUAUGUGUAUUUUGGCUUUGUGAUUAAUUUUCGCGACUCGCAAGUUUGACCCGGAAGUAAACUGUACGACAGCAACUGAAUUGUUUACAUGAAAUGGUGGAAGAUUUAAAUUUGACUUUAAAAUAUCAUGUCUCAAUUUAUUAACACCAACACUAUUCCAUGUGAAAUUUCACAAGACCAGGACACUUCGUUUUUAAAGUUAAAUGAUUUAUCGAAUGUAAAUGAACGUUAUUUGUAAACUUCUCACCCCGCUACUCAAGAUUUGUUUGAUGUGGUGCAUGAUUAUGAAAGCACAGGAGUUUGAAAUUCUUUCAAUAUAGCUAAUCUUAUGGCUUAAUAAAUUUUUUUACCCCAAUAUAGUAUAAGACUAGUCUUUAUACUAUAUAGGAGUUAGCUAAAGGAACUUCAGCGUACAGUUUAUAUAGUAUUGACAGAUCUGUACGCUGAAGCUAACCCCGUAUCGAAAGUCAACCAGAGUCGUAACAUAUUUAUGUCACGCUAUAAAUCAAAGAAAGCUCAUUUUCUUGGAUACAUUUCUACAUAUAUUGGCGAAUGAAUAUAAAUUAUUGCAUCGAUGAAUAUUUUAAGGUUCAAAUGUUUCAAAUGCAUCUUACAAAAGAUGAAAAUAACUCUCAUCAGUCUGAAAUUCACAAUUUUGACGCCAUUGUCGCUUUCAUUUGGAUACUUUCGGAUAAACCUUGACAUGUUAUGCUGAAAUUGUAAACAUUACUUUCGUUUUCUGAAAUCUAUUAUUUGUCAUUAACAACUUACGUCUGGUGGAUUAUAAGACUGAUUUCAUUGUGAAUCAGGUAGUUUUAUAUAAUAUUUACUUUGACUUUGUAUUGACACUACAAUUUGUUAACAAAAUAAGCCAGAAUAAUUAAAAUACCGGGAAAUGUCAUUCUGAAUUUGAAAACACCUGAGCACAUGGUUUGUUACUAAAAAUAGAAAUAACGUCAUAUGACCGUGAAAUCUCGGGAGAUUCGCAUUUCAAGAAAGUCUGUCAGAUCGCUGUUUUUCUCGAUAUGUAAGAGCAGAAUAGAUACAUUUUAAAUGUUUAAGAUAGUAUUUUGUGAAAGAAUACAUCAGUUAAAUGUGAAAAAUGUCAAUCUUUCCAAUCAAGUGGUUGAUUUGGGCCAACAACUCCAUUUAAAAGCUGUUUUGGACCGGUCUUUGUUAAUUGUCAACUUUUCGGGAAUUUCUGGUUGACUUUCCUAAUGGGGUUGGUCCAUAACUAUAAAGUCGCGCCAGUCAAAAAUCAUAAAAAGCGACAUUUAAAGUUAUGGAAGCCAGAACUAUAUAGGAGUAUAUUUUUUUUUUAUUUAGCCAUUAGAUUAGCUAUAUUGAUAGAAUUUCAAACUCCUGUGAUGAAAGUGACCUUGAGUCAAACCAUGAUGAGUCUGAUAUUGAUAUUGAUAUAGAAGCUGUCAAAAAAAACAUCAGAUACUGCGUUAAUUGAAAAGUCUGAACUUCAUGUGGCAGAAGCUGAUUAACAAAACAAAUUUACGGUUGACUUUUUAAAAAUGUUUAAGCACAAAUUUAAUUAAUAAUUAUUAUUGUAAAAAAAAAGUGUUAUGUAGAUAAAUAACCAAUAAUUUGAUAUUCUACAGGUUGGGAAGUUACGGUCUUGGCGAACAGCAUUCUCACUUUCAGUGUGACAACUGUUGCGGCCAAAAUAAAAACAACAUAAUCAUCUGGUACCUUCUGUGGAGAGUUCUUGUAGGUUUACACAAAAUCAUCACACUAAGCUUUAUGUUGAUAAGACAUACAAAGUUUACACCAGAUUGGCACUUUGGCAUCUGGAAGUCAAAGUGGAGAAACUUCAAUGCAGAAAUGUUGUCUGAUGUCGCUGCGUCUGUGGGGUUAUCGUCAAGGACGGGCCACAACAUCCCCCAGCUUGUGGGGGACUCUUCCAAUCCUGUUGUUAUCUAAGACAGGAAGGAUUACCUUACGACAUUGUUUCACCACAUAAAGAAUGUCACCAAAUUUCAUCAAUUUCCAUGUGUCAGCGGAGCAUCCCGGUGUUUUGGAAUGCAGGGAAUUUAGUGGCUCACCAGUAGUCAGAAUCACUCUCAGGAAGGUCUCGAAAGUGAAUGUUAAUGUGAGCUGUGACAACCUGCCAUAAGAAGUGUUUGCGAAAGGGCUUGAUCUGGACCAUCAGUGGUAUUUAUUUGAAAACAUUCGUGAAUUCUGUCGCAUAGAUGAACCAAAAACUUGCCUUGUCCGAAACGCGCUACUGGUGAGCAACAAAAAACAGACUAUGCCCCCCAAAAAAGAAGAUGCAUUAAGAUGCGCAUCUGAUCUUCUCUGAUGGUGCCACAACAAUUACAUACAUCAUGUAUCAGUGUUUAUUUUGGCCAAGGUAUUGGGUGAUAUAUUUUCCCCCAAACAAUGCAAAAAAUCCUCUAUUCCUAGGAAAGCUAAAACAUGUAUACGAUUGCUAAAUGUGUCAGUUGAUACAGGUUUUGAAAUGUUCAAUGAAAACGUUUGUUGUUCUAAUUGCACAAGCUUGUUUUUAGCUCACCUGAGCGAUAGCUCGAGGUGAGCUAUUGUGAUCACUCAGCGUCCGUCCGUCCGUCCGUCCGUAUACAAAUUUGUAAACAUGUUCUUCUACUAAACCAUUGAGCCAAUUUCAACUAAAUUUCAUGUGGCGCAUCCCUAGGUCAUGGGACAAAAGAAUUGUUAAAAAAAAUUUGAUCACAUAACCAAGAUGGCCGCUAUGACCAUAUAUGGUAAAAACCUUAAACAAUCUUCUUGUCAGAAACCGCUCAUCAGAUUUUCAAAAAAUUUCACAGGGAUGACCUUUGAGGGCUCCCCUGAAAAAGUUGUUCAAAGAAAUUUGAUUCGUCAAAAAACAUGGCCGCAGGAGCUCGUUGAACUUUGCAUGUUUAUUCGUUUUUGCCUAUUUUGUGAAAACUUUCAAAAAUCUUCCACAUUUUUUGUCCGAUCCUUUCCAAAUUUGCACAGUGUCUUUAUAUCAAUGAGGACACAAACCCUACAAAAAAUGAGCAUUAUUGGUCCAUGAAGUACAGAAUUACCUCCCCUUGAAUUGAGAAAAUGGUGUUUAUGCAAUAAAGUCCAAAUUUUUCAUCCAAUUCUUUCCAAACUUGUAAGGAUUUAGCAUGGUUCAAACAAGGGAAACAACUACGGUUUAUGCAUGUUCUUUUUAUUACAGAUUUGCCUCCCUUUAAUUCAUUCAAAAUCUCAUUUUACAGCAGAGAUUCCAAAUCUGACCUGUAAAUGAGCCCCAUAUUUACUGCUGGUGCUAUGUUACCUUUUCCCAUUUGAUCAUUCUUAAGUAUUGGCCUUGUAAUGCUGCUACUGCUACUGCUACUGCUACUACUACUACUACUACUACUACUACUACUACUUCUACUACUACUACUACUACUUCUACUACUACUACCACUACUACUACUACUACUACUACUACUACUACUACUACUACUACUACUAGUACUAGUACUACUACUACUACUACUACUACUACUAGUACUACUACUACUAGUA